rnacentral:tRNA from 1 species
GUUUAAAUAGUUUAGUAAAAAUUUUAAUUUGUGGAGUUAAAGAUAUAAUAAGUAAAUAUAUUAUUUUAAACA